rnacentral:rRNA from 1 species
GACGAACGCUGGCGGCGUGCUUAACACAUGCAAGUCGAACGGAAAGGCCCUGCUUGCAGGGUACUCGAGUGGCGAACGGGUGAGUAACACGUGGGUGAUCUGCCCUGCACUUCGGGAUAAGCCUGGGAAACUGGGUCUAAUACCGGAUAGGAGCCAUUUUUAGUGUGAUGGUUGGAAAGUUUUUUCGGUGUAGGAUGAGCUCGCGGCCUAUCAGCUUGUUGGUGGGGUAAUGGCCUACCAAGGCGGCGACGGGUAGCCGGCCUGAGAGGGUGGACGGCCACAUUGGGACUGAGAUACGGCCCCGACUCCUACGGGAGGCAGCAGUGGCGAAUAUUGCACAAUGGGCGCAAGCCUGAUGCUGCGCCGCCGCGUGCGGGAUGACGGCCUUCGGGUUGUAAACUCCUUUCGCUAGGGACCAAGCUUUUUGUGACGGUACCUAGAUAAGAAGCACCGGCUAACUACGUG